CCUCAUACAGGGGGAUAACAGUUAGAAAUGGCUGCUAAUACCGCAUAAGACCACAGUACUGCAUGGUACAGUGGUAAAAACUCCGGUGGUAUGAGAUGGACCCGCGUCUGAUUAGGUAGUUGGUGAGGUAACGGCCCACCAAGCCGACGAUCAGUAGCCGACCUGAGAGGGUGACCGGCCACAUUGGGACUGAGAUACGGCCCAGACUCCUACGGGAGGCAGCAGUGGGGAAUAUUGCACAAUGGGCGAAAGCCUGAUGCAGCGACGCCGCGUGAAGGAUGAAGUAUUUCGGUAUGUAAACUUCUAUCAGCAGGGAAGAAAAUGACGGUACCUGACUAAGAAGCCCCGGCUAACUACGUGCCAGCAGCCGCGGUAAUACGUAGGGGGCAAGCGUUAUCCGGAUUUACUGGGUGUAAAGGGAGCGUAGACGGCUGUGCAAGUCUGAAGUGAAAGGCAUGGGCUCAACCCGUGGACUGCUUUGGAAACUGUGCAGCUAGAGUGUCGGAGAGGUAAGUGGAAUUCCUAGUGUAGCGGUGAAAUGCGUAGAUAUUAGGAGGAACACCAGUGGCGAAGGCGGCUUACUGGACGAUGACCGACGUUGAGGCUCGAAAGCGUGGGGAGCAAACAGGAUUAGAUACCCUGGUAGUCCACGCCGUAAACGAUGACUGCUAGGUGUCGGGUAGCAAAGCUAUUCGGUG
rnacentral:rRNA from 1 species